AACAAUGGGCGAAACUGUAUUCCAGCCAUGCCGCGUGAGUGAUGAAGGCCCUAGGGUUGUAAAGCUCUUUUGUGCGGGAAGAUAAUGACGGUACCGCAAGAAUAAGCCCCGGCUAACUUCGUGCCAGCAGCCGCGGGUAAUACGAAGGGGGCUAGCGUUGCUCGGMAUCACUGGGCGUAAAGGGUGCGUAGGCGGGUUUCUWAGUYAGAKGUGAAAGCCUGGAGCUCAACUCCAGAACUGCCUUUGAUACUGGAAGUCUUGAGUUCGGGAGAGGUGAGUGGAACUGCGAGUGUAGAGGUGAAAUUCGUAGAUAUUCGCAAGAACACCAGUGGCGAAGGCGGCUCACUGGCCCGAUACUGACGCUGAGGCACGAAAGCGUGGGGAGCAAACAGGAUUAGAYACCCUGGUAGUCCACGCCGUAAACGAUGAAUGCCAGCCGUUAGUGGGUUUACUCACUAGUGGCGCASUAAACGCUUUAAGCAUUCCGCCUGGGGAGUACGGUCGCAAGAUCUACMUACUCAAAGGAAUUGACGGGGGSCCGCACAAGCGAUGGAGCAUGUGGUUAAUUCSACGCAACGCAGAACCUUACC
rnacentral:rRNA from 1 species